rnacentral:rRNA from 1 species
AAUAACGUCUCAGUUCGGAUUGUAGUCUGCAACUCGACUACAUGAAGUUGGAAUCGCUAGUAAUCGCGAAUCAGCAUGUCGCGGUGAAUACGUUCCCGGGUCUUGUACACACCGCCCGUCACACCAUGGGAGUCAGUAACGCCCGAAGUCAGUGACCCAACCUACCCGGAGGGAGCUGCCGAAGGCGGGACCGAUAACUGGGGUGAAGUCGUAACAAGGUACC